GGACUUUUGGCAGAAUUGAUGGUCCUUAACCAACAAUUACAAGGCAGACCAGGCCCUGGGGAAAACUAGCUCUGACUAUCCUCACCCAGGGAAGGCUCAUUGGAAACACUCCGAGAGAUGGCUUAAUUAUUAAUAUUUACCAUAGAGAUUGUUCUAGGAGCAACGCCUCCUUGGGAAACCAAAGUUAUAUCAAGAGGAGGCUUGUCUCCAUGAGAACAAAGAUCUUGCCAGUGCUGUUGGUUGCCUGAUUUCCAGCCCCUGGAAUACAGCCUGGUUCAGUUGUCGGCACUGGAGAAAUCACACCAAGAAGGGUGCAGAGACCCAUUGCAAGUGACUUGGGAAGAGGAAAACUCAGUCAUGGGCAGACACCCAGUUAAAUGGAAAGCAGAGUUAAAGGAGGACAGCGGGAAGAAUGAGAUCUUGAAAAAUCCAUCAGCAAUUUCGGGACGAUAACAUGUGCACAGAUGAUAUUUUUUAAAAACCUGGGAGAAAGGAGUCAGUGGGAGACACAAUUUGAGAGCUACUGUGGCACUCUGGGGACCAAACUAAAGUGUUUGCACCACAUGCUGGGGUAAUUCAAUCACUCAGCAAGCACUGUUUGAGCACCUGUGUUUCUCUGGCCACACUAGUCUCCCUGCUGUUCCUUGUCCUCACCAGGCAUGCUUCCCUACUCUGCCUUUAAUCUGCAGGGGGAUUAUCAUAGCUCAUUGUAACCUUGAACUCCUGGGCUCAAGCGAUUCUCCCAUUUCAGCCUCCCCAAUAGAUGGGACUACAGGCCUGCACCACCAUGCCAGGCUAUUUUUUUUUCUAUUUUGGUAUAGGUGGGGUCUCACUAUGUUGCCCAGGAGGUCACUAUCUCCUGGGCUCAAGCCAUCCUCCCGCCUUGGCCUCCCAAAGUGCUAGUAUUACAAAUGUGAGCCACCACACCCAUCCAGAGUUCCCCUUUUUUUUGAGGGCUUCCCCCUACUCAGUAGCACCAUUGUCUUAGGUCAUUUUCUGUUGCUGUAACAUAUACCACAGAUUGGGUAAUUUAUAAAGAAAUUUAUUUCUUACAGUUCUGGAGGCUGUAAAGUCCACAUCUGGUGAGGGCCUUUUUGCUGGUGGGAACUCUCUGAAGAGUCCCCAGGUGGUGCAGAGCACCACAAGGUGAGGGGACUGAGUGUGUUAGCUCAGUUCUCUCAUCCUCAUCUUAUGAAGCUGCUAGUCCCAUUCCUGUAGCAACCCAUUAGUCCAUCAACCCAUGAAUCCAUGAAUGGAUUUAUCCAUUUAUGAGGGCAGAGCUCUCAUGACCCAAUCACCUCUUAAAGGCCCCAACUCUGAAUAUUGCUACAUUGGGGGUUGAACUUCAACAUAAGUUUUGGAGGGGACAAAUAUCCAAGCCCUAGCAACCAUUUAGCAAAUGCGUAAACAAGCUGCAAUUGUGGUGACAAGAGAAGGCACAUCACCCUGGAAAGGACCCUGUCUCAUUUUUCUUUGUUUUUAUUUUUUAUUUUUAUUAAGAUUAUUUUUUAGAGAUGUGGUCUCUCCAUGUUGCCCAGGCUGGCCUUGAACUCCUAGCCUCAAGUGAUCCUCCUGCCUUAGCCUCCCAAAGUGCUGGGAUUACAGGUGUGAGCCACCAAGUCCAGUUUAUCUCAUUCAUCAUUGUACCCCAGUGCUAGGCACAUAGUAAGCAUUGAGGAAAUGUUGAAUGAAUGAAUAUCAUUUUUAAGCACUGAGGAAACCUAUUUUUAAAAUAGUAAAUGUUAUUAUCACAACUUUGUAAAAAGUGCAUUUUAAAAUGUUUCUAAAAUCCACUAAUAAAUACCAACAGUAAGCCGGACAUGGUAGUGUGUCCGUAAUCCCAACUACUCAGGAAGCUGAGGCGAGGAGGAUCACUUCAGCUUAGGAGUUUAAGGCUGCAGUGAGCUGUGAUUGUGCCACUGCACCCCAGCCUGGCCAACAGAGCAAGACCCCGUCUUUAAAAAAAGUUGUAAAAAGAAAUACCAACAGCAGUUGAAUGGUGGAGUUCUGGGAAAUCUUUCGUUAUUUCCUUUUCUUUUCUCUUCCUUCCUUCCUUCCUUCCUUUCUCUUUCUUUCUUUCCUUUUUUUUUUUUUUUGACAGUGUCUUGCUGUCGCCCAGGCUGGAGUGCAGUAGUGCAAUCUUGGCUCGCUGCAACCUCUGCCUCCUGGGCUCAAGCACACCUCAACCUCCCUAGUAGCUGGGAUUCCAGGCGCAUGCCACCACGCCCAUCUAAUUUUUCUAUUUUUAGUAGAGAUGGGAUUUUGCCAUGUUGGCCAGGCUGGUCUUGAACUCCUGACCUCAAGUGAUCCACCUGCCUCGGCCUCCCAAAGUGCUGGGAUUACAGGCAUGAGCCACUGUACCUGGCCUUUUUCUUUCUUUUCUGUAUUUUUCCCAUUUUGUGUACUAUAGCAACAUUUUUAAUAAUGAAUAAAGUAUAUUUUAGUCCCAUCCACACCUUCCUUCCUCCCAAAAAAGGAAUUGUGAGAAUUACAAUUUACAACCUAAUAUUUUAAAAGUCUUGUGCCAUGUAAAGUGUAAAUGACGAAGACUGAGAAACCAUGACCUGAACUUUAUAAUGCAAUGAAAUAAAGUUUACCACACUCUGACGUGUCUGACAAUAUGCAUGAGGAUUGUGUAGCUGGGCAUGACCAACAAUUCUCAUAAAACACUGUGAUUGGUAUUACUUGAAACAGCCAAACUGGCCUCUGUCAGAUGCUUGGGGAAGGGAGGCGGGAACUGGAUGGGGUGUGUGUGGCUCUGUUGGCCUCAGAAGACCCCUGGAUCCAUAACCCAGGUAUGCCACUUUGCUGGCAGAGAAGGCCAGGACCUGGGAGCUCCGAGGACCUCCGGCUGACAGAUUUGCAGCCUCCAAGUGGGGCUGGUGCUGCACAGGCUUCACAAAGGAGCUUUUUACCACAACAGGAACGGCACGAACACCCCAAACUCUGCUUUCCUUCCCUUCCCAGCCUUCUAGAUAUGGAGAGUUCAUAAGGAUACUGCCUGAAAUGUCAUCAAUAAAAAUGUGUUGGGCAGCAGAACGAUUGCCUUUGAGAGGGCUAGAGGAGAGAAUAUUCAUUCACACAACAAAUGUUUAUUGAGAAUCUACUAUAUGCCAAGCAUAAGGGAGGUCCUGUGCAUACAUGGUGUCAUUUCCUUGCAUCAGCCUGAUGAAGAUGCUAUUAGACCCCACUAUACAGAUAAUGAAACAGGCUGGGAAAUGUUAAGUUAGUGACACUGAGUCACACAUUUAAGUAAGUGGUGGUAGUGGGGAGGGAGGUGGAAAGGGAGGGAGGAGGGACUCAAACACAGCCCCAUCAGAGGUGGAGAGCCUCUCUUCCCACAUUGCGCAUUGCACAACAGCAGAGGUUUCCAGACUUCAUGCUUACAGCCUUUGUGACCAUCAGCAGCUACUCUGGGUCUCGGUCUCCUUGUUUAUAAAAAUAAAGUGCUUGAAUGGCUCACACCUGCAAUCCCAGCA
rnacentral:lncRNA from 10 species